rnacentral:rRNA from 1 species
AGAGUUUGAUCCUGGCUCAGGAUGAACGCCGGCGGUGUGCCUAAUACAUGCAAGUCGAGCGCACUGGCCCAACUGAUAUGACGUGCUUGCACUGAAUUGACGUUGGAUUACCAGUGAGCGGCGGACGGGUGAGUAACACGUGGGCAACCUGCCCUGAAGCGGGGGAUAACAUCUGGAAACAGGUGCUAAUACCGCAUAACAACGAAAACCACAUGGUUUUCGUUUCAAAGAUGGUUUCGGCUAUCACUUCAGGAUGGGCCCGCGGUGCAUUAGCUAGUUGGUAAGGUAACGGCUUACCAAGGCAAUGAUGCAUAGCCGAGUUGAGAGACUGAUCGGCCACAAUGGAACUGAGACACGGUCCAUACUCCUACGGGAGGCAGCAGUAGGGAAUCUUCCACAAUGGGCGCAAGCCUGAUGGAGCAACACCGCGUGAGUGAAGAAGGGUUUCGGCUCGUAAAGCUCUGUUGUUGGAGAAGAACGUGCGUGAGAGUAACUGUUCACGCAGUGACGGUAUCCAACCAGAAAGUCACGGCUAACUACGUGCCAGCAGCCGCGGUAAUACGUAGGUGGCAAGCGUUAUCCGGAUUUAUUGGGCGUAAAGCGAGCGCAGGCGGUUGCUUAGGUCUGAUGUGAAAGCCUUCGGCUUAACCGAAGAAGGGCAUCGGAAACCGGGCAACUUGAGUGCAGAAGAGGACAGUGGAACUCCAUGUGUAGCGGUGGAAUGCGUAGAUAUAUGGAAGAACACCAGUGGCGAAGGCGGCUGUCUGGUCUGCAACUGACGCUGAGGCUCGAAAGCAUGGGUAGCGAACAGGAUUAGAUACCCUGGUAGUCC